UCCCUAGCGGCUUAGAUGGUAAAGCGUCUGCCUGCAAUGCAGAAGACCCGAGUUCGAUCCCUGGGUUGGGAA
rnacentral:tRNA from 1 species